UAAAGAUUCAUCGCUGAUAGAUAGGCAUGCGUUCCAUUAGGCAGUUGGCGGGGUAACGGCCCACCAAACCGACGAUGGAUAGGGGUUCUGAGAGGAAGGUCCCCCACAUUGGUACUGAGACACGGACCAAACUCCUACGGGAGGCAGCAGUGAGGAAUAUUGGUCAAUGGGCGUAAGCCUGAACCAGCCAAGUCGCGUGAGGGAUGAAGGUUCUAUGGAUCGUAAACCUCUUCUAUAAGGGAAUAAAGUGUGGGACGUGUCCUAUUUUGUAUGUACCUUAUGAAUAAGGAUCGGCUAACUCCGUGCCAGCAGCCGCGGUAAUACGGAGGAUCCGAGCGUUAUCCGGAUUUAUUGGGUUUAAAGGGUGCGUAGGCGGCCUUUUAAGUCAGCGGUGAAAGUCUGUGGCUCAACCAUAGAAUUGCCGUUGAAACUGGGGGGCUUGAGUAUGUUUGAGGCAGGCGGAAUGCGUGGUGUAGCGGUGAAAUGCUUAGAUAUCACGCAGAACCCCGAUUGCGAAGGCAGCCUGCCAAGCCAUGACUGACGCUGAUGCACGAAAGCGUGGGGAUCAAACAGGAUUAGAUACCCUGGUAGUCCACGCAGUAAACGAUGA
rnacentral:rRNA from 1 species